GACAGAGGGUGCAAACGUUGUUCGGAAUUACUGGGCGUAAAGCGCGUGUAGGCUGCUUGGAAAGUCGGGUGUGAAAGCCCUGAGCUCAACUCAGGAAGUGCACUCGAAACUUCCGAGCUCGAGUCCUGGAGAGGGUGGCGGAAUUCUCGGUGUAGAGGUGAAAUUCGUAGAUAUCGAGAGGAACACCUGUGGCGAAGGCGGCCACCUGGACAGUGACUGACGCUGAGACGCGAAAGCGUGGGGAGCAAACAGG
rnacentral:rRNA from 1 species